UACGUAGGGUGCUAGCGUUGUUCGGAAUUACUGGGCGUAAAGCGCGCGUAGGCGGCUAUUCAAGUCAGAGGUGAAAUCCUUGGGCUCAACCCAAGAAUUGCCUUUGAAACUGUAUAGCUAGAGUGUCGGAGGGGAUAGCGGAAUUCCUAAUGUAGAGGUGAAAUUCGUAGAUAUUAGGAGGAACACCGGUGGCGAAGGCGGCUAUCUGGACGACAACUGACGCUGAGGCGCGAAAGCACGGGGAUCAAACAGG
rnacentral:rRNA from 1 species